AUGCUUAUUCAAGCUACACAAAAAUUGACAGGCACAUUCUUGUUCUUCCAAGGAGAAGGCUGGCAGAAGCCAGCAGUAGCACCGAAAGUGUCUUUGGAGAAGUACUUACCUGCUGCAAAUGGCCUAAGUCAACAGGUUGCACUGGCUACCAGGAUGGUUAGCAAGAAGAAAGGCCAUGAUGGAGACUUUAUGCAGAUAUAUACCUAAUUUUUGGACUGUGUGCACAGAAAACUGUACAGGAUUUUGUAAACAAGCAAUUAAAAGCUGCUUGAAAACCUAUUCAUCUGCCAGAAGAAUUUAAUCUUGACUGCAGCAUUCAUAUGAUGCUAUCACUACAGCAACCAAGCCUGUAAACAAUACUUCUGGCCGUGGAUAACAUAUUAAUACUUGGUUUAGCAAUUAGAAACAAAAGCCUGUCAGACUUGUUCUUUCCUGCCAUUGUAGGCUUCCUGAUACAAAUGAUCUUUUAAGUGCUUUACUCUAAUUGGAGAAGAUUAAGCUGCAGUGCUCCAUCUAGUCAUCAGGGCUGCUUCUCCUUUAUGUUUCAUUAUUAUGGUCUGACCUGUUAUCCAUGCAUACCUGCCAGCACGAUGACAACAAUUUAUUAAUGCAUAUGGAUCCUGUUCCUUGUAAGACAAAAUUAUCAUUUAAUUCUGUACCUACGAAUUAAUAUCAAUCUUUUGACUUUCUCAUGAAAAGUUUCUACUGAAUUGUGCAAAACCUAGGUAAUAUAAUGUAGUACAGAAGUAUUUAAUUCACCUUGAAAGCCAGAUAAAUCUAAAGAGGUGAUUUUUGUAGAGCAAGAUUACUAAGUCCAAAACAAGAUUUCUAAGUCCAAAAUAACAUUUCUAAUCUGUGCUUUAUUACAUAAAACAAAAACUUGUUUUGACUUUGUCUCCUGCUGACAUUGAUAUUCCUGUGGCAGCUAUAUAGCACUGAUGAAAAAGCAUCAGGGAGGCCUUUUAAAAGUUUGAGGUCUAAUCUGCUGCCCUUAAAACUCGCAGCAGAACUCCUAGCAUGGGUGAAUUAUGUCAUUUAAUCUAACUUCACAUAUGCAUAGUGUAGAAAACUUUGCAGUUAAACAGGUCACCAUGAUGACACUUUAGAGUCAUUUAAUCUAACAUAGAAUGUCUGAAAUAAAAUCGCCUAUUAUUCUCCA
rnacentral:lncRNA from 1 species